rnacentral:misc_RNA from 1 species
AACGCACAUUGCGCCCUCUGGUAUUCCGGAGGGCACGCCUGUUCGAGCGCCAUUACACCCCCCAAGCUUGGCUUGAUGUUGGACGGAGCGAGGCCGCCCGUCCGAAACCUGUGUGGCGCCGACUGUCGAGCACCAGCGUAGCAAGCAAUCGUUCGCUUGGUGGCUCGAUCGCCGGCGGCCGUGACCCUCAACAUAUUACCAGGUUGGCCUCGGAUCAGGUGGGGAUACCCGCUGAACUUAA